UACAGAGGGUGCGAGCGUUAAUCGGAAUUACUGGGCGUAAAGCGUGCGUAGACGGUAGCGUAAGUCAGAUGUGAAAGCCCCGGGCUCAACCUGGGAAUUGCAUUUGAGACUGCUCUGCUCGGGUGCGGAAGAGGGAAGCGGAAUUUCCGGUGUAGCGGUGAAAUGCGUAGAUAUCGGAAGAACACCAGUGGCGAAAGCGGCUUCCUGGUCCGACACCGACGUUCAGGCACGAAAGCGUGGGGAGCAAACAGG
rnacentral:rRNA from 1 species